rnacentral:rRNA from 1 species
GGUGAGUAAUGCAUGGGUAACGUACCCCCGGCUCCGGGAUAUUGCCAUCUGUUUACAGAUUUCCGAAAGGGGCAGUAAUACCGGAUAACAUCUCUCCGUCUCCUGACGGGAAGAUCAAAGGUCCGCCGGCUGGGGAGCAGCCCAUGUCGUAUCAGCUUGUUGGUGGGGUAACGGCCUACCAAGGCUUCGACGCGUAGCGGGACUGAGAGGUUGGCCCGCAACAUCGGGACUGAGACACUGCCCGGACCUCCACGGAGGGCUGCAGUAACGAAUAUUGCGCAAUGGGCGAAAGCCUGACGCAGCGACGCCGCGUGUAGGAGGAAGUCCUUCGGGAUGUAAACUACUGUCAGGGUUAAGAAAGUGCGCUUCGGCGUAUUGAUCUAACCCAGAGGAAGUCACGGCUAACUUCGUGCCAGCAGCCGCGGUAAGACGAAGGUGGCUAGCGUUGUUCGGUGUCACUGGGCUUAAAGAGUAUGUAGGCGGAAAUGUAAGCGCCUUGUGAAAUACCUCGGCUUAACCGAGGAAUUGCAGGGUGAACUGCGUUUCUUGAGGCAAGUAGGGGUGCAUGGAACUCUUGGUGGAGCGGUGGAAUGCGUAGAUAUCAAGAGGAACGCCGAUGGAGAAAUCAAUGCACUGGGCUUGUUCUGACGCUGAGAUACGAAAGCGUGGGGAGCGAA